rnacentral:tRNA from 1 species
AUCCUUUCGGUGUAAGGCACAGAAGGUUUUGAGCCUUCAUGAGGGCUCAGACCCAAAGGAUA